AAUAGAUACCCGGGUAGUCCACGCCGUAAACAAUGAGUGCUAAGUGUUAGGGGGUUUCCGCCCCUUAGUGCUGCAGCUAACGCAUUAAGCACUCCGCCUGGGGAGUACGGUCGCAAGACUGAAACUCAAAGGAAUUGACGGGGGCCCGCACAAGCGGUGGAGCAUGUGGUUUAAUUCGAAGCAACGCGAAGAACCUUACCAGGUCUUGACAUCCCGCUGACCGCUAUGGAGACAUAGCUUUCCCUUCGGGGACAGCGGUGACAGGUGGUGCAUGGUUGUCGUCAGCUCGUGUCGUGAGAUGUUGGGUUAAGUCCCGCAACGAGCGCAACCCUUGUCCUUAGUUGCCAUCAUUCAGUUGGGCACUCUAAGGAGACUGCCGGCUAAAAGUCGGAGGAAGGUGGGGAUGACGUCAAAUCAUCAUGCCCCUUAUGACCUGGGCUACACACGUGCUACAAUGGACGGUACAAACGGUUGCGAAGUCGCGAGAUGGAGCUAAUCCGAGAAAACCGUUCUCAGUUCGGAUUGCAGGCUGCUAACCG
rnacentral:rRNA from 1 species